GAUGAACGCUGGCGGCGUGCCUAAUACAUGCAAGUCGAGCGAACAGACGAGGAGCUUGCUCCUCUGACGUUAGCGGCGGACGGGUGAGUAACACGUGGAUAACCUACCUAUAAGACUGGGAUAACUUCGGGAAACCGGAGCUAAUACCGGAUAAUGUAUUGAACCGCAUGGUUCAAUAGUGAAAGACGGUUUUGCUGUCACUUAUAGAUGGGUCCGCGCCGCAUUAGCUAGUUGGUAAGGUAACGGCUUACCAAGGCGACGAUGCGUAGCCGACCUGAGAGGGUGAUCGGCCACACUGGAACUGAGACACGGUCCAGACUCCUACGGGAGGCAGCAGUAGGGAAUCUUCCGCAAUGGGCGAAAGCCUGACGGAGCAACGCCGCGUGAGUGAUGAAGGUCUUCGGAUCGUAAAACUCUGUUAUUAGGGAAGAACAAAUGUGUAAGUAACUAUGCACGUCUUGACGGUACCUAAUCAGAAAGCCACGGCUAACUACGUG
rnacentral:rRNA from 1 species